rnacentral:pre_miRNA from 1 species
AAAAUACUCCCUCCGUCCGAAAAUACUUGUCACGAAAAUGAAUAUAAAUGGAUGCAUCUAAAACUAAAAUACAUCUAGAUACAUCCAUUCAUCCGACAAGUAUUUCCGCACGGAGGGAGUAGUAG